rnacentral:rRNA from 1 species
CCUACGGGAGGCAGCAGUGAGGAAUAUUGGUCAAUGGCCGAGAGGCUGAACCAGCCAAGUCGCGUGAGGGAAGAAUGUCCUAUGGAUUGUAAACCUCUUUUGUCAGGGAGCAAAGUCACCCACGUGUGGGUUUUGGAGAGUACCCGAAGAAAAGGCAUCGGCUAACUCCGUGCCAGCAGCCGCGGUAAUACGGAGGAUGCGAGCGUUAUCCGGAUUUAUUGGGUUUAAAGGGUGCGUAGGCGGGUUAUCAAGUCAGCGGUAAAAUCGUGGAGCCAAACCCCAUCCAGCCGUUGAAACUGGUGAUCUUGAGUGCGCGAGAAGUAUCCGGAAUGCGUGGUGUAGCGGUGAAAUGCAUAGAUAUCACGCAGAACUCCGAUCGCGAAGGCAGGAUACCGGCGCCCGACUGACGCUGAGGCACGAAAGCGUGGGUAUCGAACAGGAUUAGAUACCCGGGUAGUC